rnacentral:rRNA from 1 species
AGAGUUUGAUCCUGGCUCAGGAUGAACGCCGGCGGUGUGCCUAAUACAUGCAAGUCGAACGCGUUGGCCCAACUGAUUGAACGUGCUUGCACGGACUUGACGUUGGUUUACCAGCGAGUGGCGGACGGGUGAGUAACACGUAGGUAACCUGCCCCAAAGCGGGGGAUAACAUUUGGAAACAGAUGCUAAUACCGCAUAACAAUUUGAAUCGCAUGAUUCAAAUUUAAAAGAUGGCUUCGGCUAUCACUUUGGGAUGGACCUGCGGCGCAUUAGCUUGUUGGUAGGGUAACGGCCUACCAAGGCUGUGAUGCGUAGCCGAGUUGAGAGACUGAUCGGCCACAAUGGAACUGAGACACGGUCCAUACUCCUACGGGAGGCAGCAGUAGGGAAUCUUCCACAAUGGGCGCAAGCCUGAUGGAGCAACACCGCGUGAGUGAAGAAGGGUUUCGGCUCGUAAAGCUCUGUUGUUAGAGAAGAACGUGCGUGAGAGCAACUGUUCACGCAGUGACGGUAUCUAACCAGAAAGUCACGGCUAACUACGUGCCAGCAGCCGCGGUAAUACGUAGGUGGCAAGCGUUAUCCGGAUUUAUUGGGCGUAAAGCGAGCGCAGGCGGUUUGAUAAGUCUGAUGUGAAAGCCUUUGGCUUAACCAAAGAAGUGCAUCGGAAACUGUCAGACUUGAGUGCAGAAGAGGACAGUGGAACUCCAUGUGUAGCGGUGGAAUGCGUAGAUAUAUGGAAGAACACCAGUGGCGAAGGCGGCUGUCUGGUCUGCAACUGACGCUGAGGCUCGAAAGCAUGGGUAGCGAACAGGAUUAGAUACCCUGGUAGUCCAUGCCGUAAACGAUGAGUG